UACGGAGGGAGCUAGCGUUAUUCGGAAUUCCUUGGCGUAAAGCGUCCGUCGGCGGCUUUGCAAGUUAGAGGUGAAAGCCUGGAGCUCAACUCCAGAACUGCCUUUAAAACUGCAUCGCUUGAAUCCAAGAGAGGUGAGUGGAAUUCCGAGUGUAGAGGUGAAAUUCGUAGAUAUUCGGAAGAACACCAGUGGCGAAGGCGGCUCACUGGACUGGUAUUGACGCUGAGGUACGAAAGCGUGGGGAUCAAACAGG
rnacentral:rRNA from 1 species